rnacentral:misc_RNA from 1 species
AACGCACAUUGCGCCUGCUGGUAUUCCGGUAGGCAUGCCUGUUUGAGCGUCAGCAAAACUCCUCAGCAAUUUAUUUUUUGCUGGUUAUGGGUACAGAGUAGAUCUAACAGUCGCUUUUGCCUUAAACUUGCUGCACGACCGCAAGCUUAUGCUAGGUUAAUGGAGUGGUGUUUACAAUAUUCCAGCUGCCUUUUAGUAUAGCUAGUGGCGUUAAACCUGAUGUUGCCUAACCGCGACUGAAGUUUGACCUCAAAUCAGACAAGGAUACCCGCUGAACUUAA